rnacentral:rRNA from 1 species
UACGUAGGGUCCGAGCGUUGUCCGGAAUUAUUGGGCGUAAAGGGCUCGUAGGCGGUUCGUCACGUCGGGCGUGAAAACUCGGAGCUUAACUCCGAGCCUGCUUCCGAUACGGGCAGACUAGAGGUAGGCAGGGGAGAGCGGAACUCCUGGUGUAGCGGUGGAAUGCGCAGAUAUCAGGAGGAACACCGGUGGCGAAGGCGGAUCUCUGGGCCAUUACUGACGCUGAGGAGCGAAAGCGUGGGGAGCGAACAGG